rnacentral:tRNA from 1 species
AUCUAGGUAGCUCAGUGGCUAGAGCACCAGACUUGGAGUCAGCAGGACCUGGGUUCAAAUCUAACCUCAGAUA